GGUUGACCUCGAAUCAGGUAGGAAUACCCGCUGAACUUAAGCAUAUCAAUAAGCGGAGGA
rnacentral:rRNA from 1 species